GAUGAACGCUGGCGGCGUGCCUAAUACAUGCAAGUCGAGCGAAUGGAUUAAGAGCUUGCUCUUAUGAAGUUAGCGGCGGACGGGUGAGUAACACGUGGGUAACCUGCCCAUAAGACUGGGAUAACUCCGGGAAACCGGGGCUAAUACCGGAUAACAUUUUGAACCGCAUGGUUCGAAAUUGAAAGGCGGCUUCGGCUGUCACUUAUGGAUGGACCGGCGUCGCAUUAGCUAGUUGGUGAGGUAACGGCUCACCAAGGCAACGAUGCGUAGCCGACCUGAGAGGGUGAUCGGCCACACUGGGACUGAGACACGGCCCAGACUCCUACGGGAGGCAGCAGUAGGGAAUCUUCCGCAAUGGACGAAGGUCUGACGGAGCAACGCCGCGUGAGUGAUGAAGGCUUUCGGGUCGUAAAACUCUGUUGUUAGGGAAGAACAAGUGCGAGUUGAAUAAGCUGGCACCUUGACGGUACCUAACCAGAAAGCCACGGCUAACUACGUGCCAGCAGCCGCAGUAA
rnacentral:rRNA from 1 species